UAAUACUUAGGGUGCGAGCGUUAAUCGGAAUUACUGGGCGUAAAGCGAGUGUAGGCGGCUACCUAAGUCGGAUGUGAAAGCCCCGGGCUCAACCUGGGAAUUGCAUUCGAAACUGAGUAGCUAGAGUUUGGUAGAGGUGAGUGGAAUUCCGGGUGUAGCGGUGAAAUGCGUAGAUAUCCGGAGGAACAUCAGUGGCGAAGGCGGCUCACUGGACCAAAACUGACGCUGAGGCUCGAAAGCGUGGGGAGCAAACAGGAUUAGAUACCCUGGUAGUCCACGCCCUAAACGAUGUCAACUAGUCGUUGGGCUCAUUAAGGAGCUUAGUGACGCAGCUAACGCGUUAAGUUGACCGCCUGGGGAGUACGGCCGCAAGGUUG
rnacentral:rRNA from 1 species